GAUGAAGAACGCAGCGAAAUGCGAUAAGUAAUGCGAAUUGCAGAAUCCGUGAGUCAUCGAAUCUUUGAACGCACAUUGCGCCCCUUGGUUAUUCCGAAGGGCAUGCCUGUUCGAGCGUCAUUAUCACCCCUCAAGCCCUGGCUUGGUGUUGGACUUUAGUUAUAGCUUUGCCUAUCAACUGGUCUCAAAGAUAGUGACGGCGCCCCAGAGGGAACCGGGUACGAGGAGCUUUUUACUAAGCAUGUAUCUGGGACGACUCUGGGCGACGGUCUUGUUAUACUUUUUACCUAAGUGUUGACCUCGGAUCAGGUAGGAAUACCCACUGAACUUAAGCAUAUCAAUAAGCGGAGGA
rnacentral:misc_RNA from 1 species